rnacentral:lncRNA from 1 species
GGUUUGGGCUAGGUUUUGGGCUAUGACAGUACUCAUGUAGGAUGUGCGCCUUUUGGAAGGGAGGGUAAAAUAUCUCUCUUUAUUUCCUCUUAUUUUGUGAUGCAAGAUGGAUUCCGGUUCCGUUCCACUAAUUUCUGAUUGGCAGUCAGGUUGGACAUAAUGAGUAAGCAAAUAUAUAUAAUUUCUGGGGACAAAUCUGAAUUUUAUUACUGAAGCAUUCUUCUUAUUACCCAAA